rnacentral:rRNA from 1 species
CCUACGGGUGGCAGCAGUAAGGAAUAUUGGGCAAUGGAGGCAACUCUGACCCAGCCAUGCCGCGUGGAGGAUGAAGGCCCUCUGGGUUGUAAACUUCUUUUACCUGGGACGAAACCUCUUGAUUCCUCAAGAGUUGACGGUACCAGGGGAAUAAGCACCGGCUAACUCCGUGCCAGCAGCCGCGGUAAUACGGAGGGUGCAAGCGUUAUCCGGAUUCACUGGGUUUAAAGGGUGCGUAGGCGGGCAGGUAAGUCCGUGGUGAAAUCUCCGAGCUUAACUCGGAAACUGCCAUGGAUACUAUUUGUCUUGAAUGCUGUGGAGGUGAGCGGAAUAUGUCAUGUAGCGGUGAAAUGCUUAGAGAUGACAUAGAACACCAAUUGCGCAGGCAGCUCACUACCCAGCGAUUGACGCUGAGGCACGAAAGCGUGGGGAUCAAACAG